UGGUCGGGAAGAAAAGGCGCAGGCUAAUACUCUGCGUUCUUGACGGUACCGGCAGAAUAAGCACCGGCUAACUACGUGCCAGCAGCCGCGGUAAUACGUAGGGUGCGAGCGUUAAUCGGAAUUACUGGGCGUAAAGCGUGCGCAGGCGGUUCGUUAAGUCAGAUGUGAAAUCCCCGAGCUCAACUUGGGAANUGCAUUUGAANCUGGCGGGCUGGAGUGUGGCAGAGGGGGGUGGAAUUCCNCGUGUAGCAGUGAAAUGCGUAGAGAUGUGGAGGAACACCGAUGGCGAAGGCAGCCCCCUGGGCCAACACUGACGCUCAGGCACGAAAGCGUGGGGAGCAAACAGGAUUAGAUACCCUGGUAGUCCACGCCCUAAACGAUGUCAACUGGGUGUUGGGGAAGCGAUUCCUUGGUACCGUAGCUAACGCGUGAAGUUGACCGCCUGGGGAGUACGGCCGCAAGGUUAAAACUCAAAGGAAUUGAUCGGGGACCCGCACAAGCGGUGGAUGAUGUGGAUUAAUUCGAUGCAACGCGAACAACCUUACCUACCCUUGACAUGUCCGGAAGCCUGCUGAGAGGUGGGUGUGCCCGAAAGGGAAUCGGAACACAGGUGCUGCAUGGCUGUCGUCAGCUC
rnacentral:rRNA from 1 species